UCUGACUGAAUACCAGAAAUUACUUUGUCUUUUUGUAACUUGUUUUUACUCUAUCAAUGCAUCCGUUACAUCAUGUUUUUGUGCAAAAAUUUAAAAUUUAAAAAAUCAGCUAACUUUGCACUAACUAGCUACUGAAUUGUGCCUAGGUAACACUGUCUUGAGACCAGACAUUUCACACAUCCCCAUGUUGUACUGCUAGUUUCAGUUAGACCAGGACUGCAACU
rnacentral:lncRNA from 1 species